AGGAGCUAUAACGGUCGCUGUGUGGAAUCUUCCGAGUCUCGGUUUAUUUUUAUGAGGUUUUAAAGCUUUUAUUUUUAAUUUUUCUCUAUGUUAUCCACUGUUAGGAUCAAAAUGAGCAGUUUGAAGGCGCUGGACGAUUCGCUCGGAGGAAGUAUCGCGUCUGAGCCGGUGGAGGACAUCGAUCCCAGCACCUUCUCUUCGGAUAUGUCUCGCUCUCUGAAGUCCAACUACCCGGUUCAAGUCACUGAUCCACACGAAAACGUAACCCUGCAGCUCAGCUCAGUGCCUCCCGGAUACCUCACACCGUCCACGGACCGAAUACAGCAGCCCGUGGAGAACGAUGCCAGCGAGUUCAUCUGCCCGAGAUCCAUCACCUCAGACUUCACCAAAGACCUCCAGUGCCUGUCGUGCCCCUGCGAGAAGUGCCUGUGCUCCGCCCCGCCGCCCAAAAUCAGCGACCUGCUGGACGACGAGGACCUCCUCUACACCCUGCGCCUGAAGCUGGACCCCGCCCACUACACCGUGAAGAACUGGAAGAACUUCGCCAGCCGCUGGGGGAUGAGCUACGACGAGCUGAUCAUGCUGGAGCAGCGGACGCACGGCUCCACGUCGCACAGCCCCACCCAGGAGUUCCUGUUCCGCUACGGCCAGAAACCGGUGACGGAGCUGGCCAAACUCUGCCAGUUCUACCAGCGCAUCGACGUCCUGCGGCUCCUCCAGAACUGGGUGGAGAACGACUGGCCCUCGCGCUGGAGGAAGCUGCAUUAGCGAAGGCUCAGACACACGGACGGCUACCGCCAGGUGGUAGGAAUUCGGUACCAAACAAGCUAGCAGUCGUUGGCAAAUUGGUGCCAAUUAGGGCCUCGCAGUUCAAAAUGAUGACGUGACCGCGUGAGUUUUGCUGUCAAUUUUGCCAGCAGAGGUCACUCUCUCCCACGUUCCGUCAGGCCCGGGAUUCGAGAGCUUGAACUGUCAGCGGAUCGCUCUCCGGACUCCUCCAGCAUGGCAGUAGGAGGCGCUGUUGCGGUGGCUUUCUGUCAGGCCUGUGGCAGCACCGAGGCUCGACAAGCGGCGGAACCGUUUUUGUGCUUUUGGGCUUCAUCUGAUUGAAUUUUGACCUUUUCAAAGCUCCUCCGAUGAGACGGACUGUUUGAUACGACGCAGUAAGCGCCCCAACACCGUGGUUUCUCUGGUGGUGGGUGGAUGGACGAGUUCCUCCACACUGUGGAACCCUCAGGAACAAACCAACGUUGUGGUGUAUGCUUUCUUACAUCACUGAUUUAAUACCUGCUAUUAACGGGCGUGGCCGGAACACCUGAACUUCGUUCAUUAGGAACGAUCCCGAGGGCAGCAAAUAUUGUGGGGUGAUGCAGUGACCCAAAUAAAGUGAACCAAUCAAAA